CCAAAUCGAUACUGGAAAAAAAACACAUAAGAAAUCAAUUGAAUCAUUGCUCUUAAACCCAACCCCUUUAACCAUCUUCUUCAUCUCCUCCAAAAAAAAAUCAUCGAAUUCUCCGAUAAAACCUAGAACUACAGACGUAAGCAAAGAGGAAGAAAACCAUUGUUCUUGGACUAUCUUCUUGUUUUCAUCUUUGCGUUAAGAUAUGAAGAUGGAAGAAUAAUCCUGUUAAAAAUGGGAAAGUACAAGUCUCCUGAACAAUUAUGCACCAGUUCACUGUGAUGUGAUAAAAACAAGGGUUCACAUAGCAUGCAACUUUACUGAUUAUGUGGAAGAGAUCUGAGGUGGAUCGACUAAUAAUCGGAGUACUUAGUUUGGGUUGGAUAUAUCUGAUAUGGUGAUAAGGAAGUGCUGAGAACCAUGCUUCACUUCUCAAUUCUAUCACCAUUUUUUUUUAUUAUGAAUCUGUGUAUUUGUGAAUCUAAUAAUUGGUUGUAAUUUUGUUGCAGGUAAGGUUCUCACGGAUCUUUCUUUCGUGCUGGAAAAAUGAGGUGAAACAUCAAAGGUAACUAUAUAAGACAGAGAUAUUGUUGCUCUCUCUGGUGGCUACACCUUGGGUAUUUACUUACUGGGUGUUGUUCAAAUUUAUCAGGGAAGGUGCCACAAAGAACCCUAUGGAUUUGCAAUAACUAGUUUUCUAUAGCCUUUUGACAAAAGUGAAUCAGUUCCCAAUAUGAUCAAACUGAAAGAGAAAGAUUACCACCCUGUUCAAUCUCAAAACAUGGAGCUUGCAACGAAUAGGCUUUACAUAUCUCUGGAUAGCUUUCACCCACCUCGUUUUAACAUCAAGGUGAACACAAGGUGGCAAUACUGGAAAUGUUUGUGCUGCUCACCUGGGUAUAAUCCACAACGAAAGAGCUGAAUUAAACUACAACGUACAUCUGUUUUACUUGAAAGAUAAGCAUUCCUUCACGUUACUUAUACCACCAUCUGAGUUUGAAUUACUAAGACCUUAAUCUGGUAUGCUUCUUGUGAGCGAAAGCAUACAAAGUUAUUUUUGAUCUGUGACAUAUAAAGUUUGAUACUAAUAAAUGAGCUCACUUAUAAUCUUCUUCUUCUUCCACUUAUAGCUCCCCUGCGCACAUAUGAUUACUAGUUUAGCUUGUGCAGGAAGUCGCAUGUAAACCAAUGACACAACACAUGGAUGCUCUGCUUGAUAUCAUUUGUGAAAUAUUGUCAUAGGAGGAGCUAAAUUAUCAUUUUGUUUUUUUAUCAGUUGUCUAUUAGUUUAGCAUGUUGUUAUCAGAACUUAGCAAUCUUGGACAUGUAUUCUCAGUUAAAUUUGAAGUUGCACUUUAAUUUCAGUAAAAUUCGAUUUGCAUUUGAAUUUCA